rnacentral:rRNA from 1 species
CAGCCGCCGCGGUAAUACGAAGGGUGCAAGCGUUAAUCGGAAUUACUGGGCGUAAAGGGUGCGUAGGUGGUGGUUUAAGUCCGUUGUGAAAGCCCUGGGCUCAACCUGGGAAUUGCACUUGAAACUGGCAAGCUAGAGUCUUGUAGAGGGGGGUAGAAUUCCAGGUGUAGCGGUGAAAUGCGUAGAGAUCUGGAGGAAUACCGGUGGCGAAGGCGGCCCCCUGGACAAAGACUAACGCUCAGGUGCGAAAGCGUGGGGAGUAAACAGGAUUAGAUACCCCUGUAGUCCCUGUCUCUUAUAC